GCCUACGGGACGCAGCAGUGAGGAAUAUUGGUCAAUGGGCGCAAGCCUGAACCAGCCAAGUCGCGUGAGGGAAGACGGCCCUACGGGUUGUAAACCUCUUUUGCCGGGGAGCAAGCCUGAGCACGUGUGCCCAGGCGGAGAGUACCCGGAGAAAAAGCAUCGGCUAACUCCGUGCCAGCAGCCGCGGUAAUACGGAGGAUGCGAGCGUUAUCCGGAUUUAUUGGGUUUAAAGGGUGCGUAGGCGGAUUGUUAAGUUAGAGGUGAAAUGUCCGAGCUCAACUCGGGAACUGCCUCUAAUACUGUUG
rnacentral:rRNA from 1 species